CACUCUGUUAUAUCCCUUGAUCAAUGUUAAACCCACUUGCGAACCUAUAGAAAAACAACACAUAGAUAUGUAUAACAGGAGACAUUUUGAAUCUUCAAUACAAUCCUGAAGUCGUGUAAGAGAAAAGUUUUUUUUAUAUGACGUUAUUAUUUAGUCUUUUCUUAUUGGCUCAGUCCAAUUAGUAAUUUAUGUUAAACCAAGAAUGAACCAUGAAUCAAUGGCAAAAAGUCCAUCCUAGUUUUCGCAUCCAUAAAAAAGCAACUUAUUGACACUCUCUGUCCGCGUUUGAUAAUUCGCAUCCCCGUUUUGUUCUAAUCCCCACGUUUUGAAUCAGCAUGCAGACACAAUUUGCUUCGAUCUUUCGUCAGACAAG
rnacentral:lncRNA from 1 species